rnacentral:lncRNA from 1 species
CUACUACUCUGGUAAAUCACAUCAGCUUUAUCAGAAUUUAGAAAAAUGAAUUAAACUACAACUUUUGAACAGUCAUUGUUUGUGAAGUUGCCUUUGUUAUCACUUGAUUAGUUUGCUUACUGUUGAAACAUGGUUUUAAUUUUGUAAAUUUAAUGAUAUGAAAUUUACUCUAUUAAUCAUUAGUUGACAGUUAAAGAGAAGCUGGAGCUUUACAUAAUAAAGGCAUUGGAAGGCUUUACUUGACUUUCUUUUUAUGGUACCUGCUGUGUUGUAACAGAU